ACCCCAAUAGGGCUGAUAAUUUUGCCAGCUUCUGGUUGACUGGCUGGCUAAAUGGCUGGUUACAUAAGUAUUUGUUUGGUUCUCUGUUUUGUUGACUGGCUGGCUGUUUUAGACUCCUUUGUGAUAAAUUGGGCUUUACGCUAAAUAGCGCCGUUAGCAUUUACGUUGAGUGCCAUUUAUCAUCUCGACUGCCGAUCAGUUACUACUACAGUAUGUUCCCAUGUUGUCCGGGCUAUUCCUGUCAGGAUACCCUGUGGCAGUACUGGUAGGACUGCUGAUCUCCAUAUGUUUUCCAUGGGCCAGGUGGCUCUGGGCGCACAGCGGCAGGAAGUGUUAGCCAGGGAUUAGGCCUAGCGGGUGCUGGGUUAUCAGCUGGCUUCUUCACUCACAGCAUGGCUGACACUAAGCCCUGGAAAUAAGCAGGGGGUUUUAUUAGCAACGUGCCCCAGGAACGGGUGAUCUACCUGGGAGGAAAAGGGCGGGGGUCCCAGAGGCUCACUGUGUAUGGCAGGUGUCGUCGUCGGUGUUGCUAGGCAACCGUGUUCAGGAAGUGGCGGGGUGUGAGGGGGAGGAAAUGGGACGUUUGGUGUAAACACACAAACACUGAUAAAGCUACCUCUUCACACACAUGUACACACACUUAAAGAUAUAUUAUGUUUCUAUGUGCUAUUUUUCACACACACUUACGAUACAAUGUCCCCCUCAUACACCCACAUGUGCAUGCACCCACACAUACACACCAGUGUAAGGCCCCAAUUCUCCCAUAAAGGCUCUAGAUUGAGAGAAUCACCCAUACCACAGACAAUUAACCCGCAAAGCCACAGUCAAUUUGCUUGUUUAAAUAGCCCUAACCAUUACGAGGUGUGUCCAAGCACUGCCAACCCAAAACUAAACAUUGGAUUUGAGCAAGCUGCAGGUUUACCAGCCAAUAUAUAAAAUAACGCUCUUCUAUAAAUACCUGAACACAUAUAACAUUUAAAACAUGUCUCAUCCAUAAACCUAGAGUUUCUAGACUAGGGACCUUAUAGACACUGUAGGUUUGGGAUAGCAUGUUACAAGGGUGUAGCAAUGGUUUUACUGUGGAGAACUAAGUACUAAUGGUUCAAUGUGGAGAGAGGGAGUGAGUGACAGAAGGAGAGACAGAGAGAGUGAGAAGUAUGUGUGUGAAAUGUAUAUGUGCUUGCGUGUUGGCCACAGCAGUGACAUAAUGUGUCUCUCUCUGGCGCUGUGGUCGGUGUGUGUGUGUGUGUGUGUGUGUGUGUGUGUGUUUUAAAGCUCAGCAAAAGUGAUGACGCAAUGACGUCACACCAUAACAGAAAUGUCCUAUCAACUUAUACUCCCAAAAUAGCCUACAACACGGCCCAUCAGAAAUGCACAGCGAUACAAAUCACAUGUGGCUCUGGGCACAGCAGUGCUAAUUUAAUGGGACUCAAAUGCCAGGCAUUAGAAGAAUGCUGAGAGCAUUCCUGAACCACACCUACUACCAAGAUAACACAUGUCUAGCCUGAAGUCAUAUGAUUAACCUAACAGAUGAAUAUAGUACUUCACCUCUAACACUUUAAUAGAAACAGGUCUGGUAUGGAGUACCAGUAAAUAAAUAGUAGGGGUAUGCCGUACUGGUAAAACAUGUGGACAUAUCACAAUAAUUAAAACAAAGAUUCUAUUUGUCAUUACCGCAUGUCAGUCGCAUGAAAAAUGAGCAAAUAGACUUGAACUUGUGGAAUACACUCCAAAAUGUGGUGUGACUGAGACUCGAGCGGACAGCAGUGUAUGCAUACAUUUUGAUGUUUUGUAAAUCACUUACGUCUCUUUGCAUUUAUCAAAUGGCAUACAAAUGGGAACAGGAGUUGAGAAAUUUGAUUUAUUUCUUUCCGCAUCUUGAGAGAAUAAAAGUUGACAUUCAAGACUAAAUGAAAUACUAUCAGUUGUUUGAUCGUUUUCACAGCUUUUCAUUUCCUUUAAACUGAUGUCAUUUGGAAAUCUCCCUGGUCCCUAAAUGUCCUCAAAUUUAACCAAUCUCAACUAGAUUGUUGAUUUAUGACAUUCUAGCGAGCAAGGGCUUAUUUAGAGUUCUAGACAAGCAUUAAGUAAUGACAGAAGAAAAGCUGCACAUUUCUAAUUAUAGACAAGUUGGCUAACAAAUAGCCUUCCAAAUGUCAGAAAUUAUAAGCAGAAAAAUAUGUACAUGAGGCUUAAAAAGUCCUAUGCUCUAUUUCACUAUAUAUGUCCAUUAAUAUGUUAACUUAUCCUAUGUGUCAUAAAAAAAAAUAUUUGAAAAAUCCUCACUACACGCAAAUACGAGCGUUUCUGCAUCUCACCGGUAGAAACGGGCCAGCUACAUUUCGUGGUUGUAAAGCAAACGAUAAUAUCCAGAUUUCAGGACGUAUGUCCACCGCUCUGUGGAGGUGUAUCCAGUUGAUGUGAGAAAUAUACAAAUGCCUGUAUUUGUAACCAGCACUUUCAGCCAGAGUGUUUCAAAACGGAACUGAAGUCUCAACUGAUGAUUUUUUCCAUGUCGUCGACUGUUGAAAAGUGAUGCUAUUCCAUCAAUUUCCUACUUCACUUCGAAGAGGAAGGGAUCCAAUCAGCCAACAUCAACGCUGCAGAAAAAAAAGUAAAGUCGAGAGUCCGAUUCCAACAACAUCUGCAGUGGCAUCAACAUCAAGCUCAGCACCAGAAACUAGUAGACUAAUCCUGCUGCUGAUGAUUCAUCUUGCUGACCAUGACCAUGACACCAGCUUUAGUAGUACAGAGCCUUUAGACCCAUUGGAUGACAACUUUAAGCCUGGAAUAAGCUCAAGGCCAACAUCAUCUGACUUUGAACCAAGCCACGACAGCCAAGGGAGACAUAGAAAUCAUCUGCAAAGAGGUCGAAGCAGUGGGUGGUGAAGAACAUCACCACAGCGCCAAAGCCUGCUAAACCAGCUGCCAUUACCCAACACAAGAAGACGUUCAGCACACAAACAUUCUGGAACCUGCCAGGAACAUUCAACCAACGAAUCAUCCAUAUUCAGUUAGACUGAUGCUGUAGUAUAAUAUAGAAUGCCUAGUAUGCUCAACUGCAUUGUGGUAUAGUUAUUGCUAGCUGUUGAACAUAUGUAUAUAAUGGUGUUUUAUACAUUUUUUUUAUAUAUAUAUUUUAUACAAGUGUACUGACAAGUGACUAAAUGAUUCCAGCUGCAUUAGAAACCAAUAGUGCCGACUUCAAAUUGUGAUAUUCAUGAAAUGUACUUUGGUAAACUAGCUUCAAUCUUACUGCUAAAACAAAUGAUGGUUGUUGGUGUAUCAUUUAAACUUGAAUUUGUUGGCAAGUAAACAUGUUAAAAUAAAACAUUUGUUUUCAA